ensembl:snRNA U6 U6 spliceosomal RNA
CUGACAGGCACAUAUACAAAAACUGGAAUGAUACAGAGAUUAGCGUGGCCCCUGCGCACGGACGACAUGCAAAUUCACGAAGUGCUCCAUGUUCUG